rnacentral:rRNA from 1 species
UACGGAGGGUGCAAGCGUUAUCCGGAUUCACUGGGUUUAAAGGGUGCGUAGGAGGACAGGUAAGUCAGUGGUGAAAAUCUCCGAGCUUAACUUGGAACUGCCGUUGAUACUAUCUGCCUUGAAUAUUGUGGAGGUGAGCGGAAUAUGUCAUGUAGCGGUGAAAUGCUUAGAUAUGACAUAGAACACCAAUUGCGAAGGCAGCUCGCUACACAUAUAUUGACUCUGAGGCACGAAAGCGUGGGGAUCAAACAGG